GCGGACGUGGCGGAACUGGUAGACGCGCCGGGUUUAGGUCCCGGUACCCGUGAGGGUGUGGGGGUUCGAGUCCCUCCGUCCGCACCA
rnacentral:tRNA from 1 species